GCCGGGUGCAGCCACCUCCAACCCCCUAGGCGGCCGGGCAGGUGCAGGUGCGGGGCUGCGCUCCACCCAGCCCAGGGCUGUUGACGCAGGUGACCCGGCUCUAAGGAUCCCAUCGGUCCAGACCCAGCAUUCUAGGGCCCUGGGGACUGGAGUUCUUGGAAACCUCGUCAGCUGAGAGAACUCAGUUUCCCCUCUGGAGAGGUUUCAGACAGCGCGGCCCCAGACCAGGGAAGCCAGAGACUAGGCGUCCCUCCAACCCCUCGCAGUGGACGAGGCUGCAGUCGGGGCCCGACCAGCCCUGACGCCUUCCCUUCCAGGUGCUCUCGGCGGGCACCACCGCCUGCGGUCUGCGUGAUUCUUGUCCAGGAGUCCUUAAUUCCCCUCAGCACUGUUUGAGGUGAGCAACUACAACUACACAAGACAAAGACGAAAGACUUUUUCAAGCUCAAAAAUCCUGUGAUUCUUUGAUUCUAAGAAGAGAUUUUCUGACAAGGAGUUUGCCUAAGGUAAGAGAAUCCUGACUGCCCAGGAUAUUACAGUCACUAGGUGGUUUCCUGGGCAGGCCGGGCCCCCGCUGGGACCCCACACAUUAGCUCUUUUUGGGAGGGAGGCCAGUUCUUAAACUUCCUCAACACCUUCCUUCCCGCAGUGUCCACAAGGCUUGUGUCUCCUCCCAGUUGCCGGCCUGCCGGCAUGUGGGCUGCCUGUGGAGAGGGGCCGUAGGCCUGUGUUGUGAAUGACGUCUGCAGGGCAUGGGGUUGACUUUGAAGAAGGUGUGAUCCUAAGUUGUGUUUGACCUGAGCUCCUGUCACCCCUGAAGGCAGCAGAGGAUGUCCUGUCGGUGACCCAGGAGGACGG
rnacentral:lncRNA from 1 species